rnacentral:rRNA from 1 species
UACGAAGGGGGCUAGCGUUGUUCGGAUUUACUGGGCGUAAAGCGCACGUAGGCGGAUCGUUAAGUCGGGGGUGAAAUCCUGGAGCUCAACUCCAGAACUGCCUUCGAUACUGGCGAUCUUGAGUCCGGAAGAGGUGAGUGUAACUCCUAGUGUAGAGGUGGAAUUCGUAGAUAUUAGGAAGAACACCAGUGGCGAAGGCGGCUCACUGGUCCGGUACUGACGCUGAGGUGCGAAAGCGUGGGGAGCAAACAGG